GACGUAGGGGGCGAGCGUUGUCCGGAAUCAUUGGGCGUAAAGGGCGCGUAGGUGGCCCGGUCAGUUCGUGGUGAAAGCGCGGGGCUCAACCCUGCGUCGGCCAUGAAUACUGCCGCGGCUGGAGCACUGUAGAGGCAGGCGGAAUUCCGGGUGUAGCGGUGGAAUGCGUAGAGAUCCGGAAGAACACCGGUGGCGAAGGCGGCCCGCUGGGCAGUUGCUGACACUGAGGCGCGACAGCGUGGGGAGCAACAGG
rnacentral:rRNA from 1 species